CAAUAGCGUAUAUUAAAGUUGUUGCAGUUAAAAAGCUCGUAGUUGGAUUUGUGGUUCGUCCCGCCGGCUGGGUCAUUGACUUUUGCUGUGCUGGUCGUCCAUCCUUGGGUGGAAUCUGUGUGGCAUUAGGUUGUCGCGCAGGGGAUGCCCAUCGUUUACUGUGAAAAAAUUGGAGUGUUCAAAGCAGGCUUAUGCCGUUGAAUAUAUUAGCAUGGAAUAAUGAUAUAGGACCUUGGUACUAUUUUGUUGGUUUGCGCACUGAGGUAAUGAUUAAUAGGGACAGUUGGGGGUAUUCGUAUUCCAUUGUAAGAGGUGAAAUUCUUGGAUUUUUGGAAGACGAACUACUGCGAAAGCAUUUACCAAGGAUGUUUUCAUUA
rnacentral:rRNA from 1 species